rnacentral:rRNA from 1 species
GUGGUUUAAUUCGAUGCAACGCGAAAAACCUUACCUACCCUUGACAUGUCAAGAAUUUUGCAGAGAUGUGAAAGUGCUCGAAAGAGAGCUUGAACACAGGUGCUGCAUGGCCGUCGUCAGCUCGUGUCGUGAGAUGUUGGGUUAAGUCCCGCAACGAGCGCAACCCUUGUCAUUAGUUGCUACGAAAGGGCACUCUAAUGAGACUGCCGGUGACAAACCGGAGGAAGGUGGGGAUGACGUCAGGUCCUCAUGGCCCUUAUGGGUAGGGCUACACACGUCAUACAAUGGCCGGUACAGAGGGUUGCCAACCCGCGAGGGGGAGCUAAUCCCAGAAAACCGGUCGUAGUCCGGAUCGUAGUCUGCAACUCGACUGCGUGAAGUCGGAAUCGCUAGUAAUCGCGGAUCAGCUUGCCGCGGUGAAUACGUUCCC